rnacentral:rRNA from 1 species
UUAAGCGACUAAGCGUACACGGUGGAUGCCCUGGCAGUCAGAGGCGAUGAAGGACGUGCUAAUCUGCGAAAAGCGUCGGUAAGGUGAUAUGAACCGUUACAGCCGGCGAUGUCCGAAUGGGGAAACCCAGUGCAAUUCGUUGCACUAUCGUUAACUGAAUACAUAGGUUAACGAGGCGAACCGGGGGAACUGAAACAUCUAAGUACCCCGAGGAAAAGAAAUCAACCGAGAUUCCCCCAGUAGCGGCGAGCGAACGGGGAGCAGCCCAGAGUCUGAAUCAGCUUGUGUGUUAGUGGAACGGUCUGGAAAGUCCGACGGUACAGGGUGAUAGUCCCGUACACCAAAAUGCACAGGUUGUGAACUCGAAGAGUAGGGCGGGACACGUGGUAUCCUGUCUGAAUAUGGGGGGACCAUCCUCCAAGGCUAAAUACUCCUGACUGACCGAUAGUGAACCAGUACCGUGAGGGAAAGGCGAAAAGAACCCCGGCGAGGGGAGUGAAAAAGAACCUGAAACCGUGUACGUACAAGCAGUGGGAGCACCCUUUAGGGUGUGACUGCGUACCUUUUGUAUAAUGGGUCAGCGACUUAUAUUCUGUAGCAAGGUUAACCGUAUAGGGGAGCCGCAGGGAAACCGAGUCUUAACUGGGCGUUAAGUUGCAGGGUAUAGACCCGAAACCCGGUGAUCUAGCCAUGGGCAGGUUGAAGGUUGGGUAACACUAACUGGAGGACCGAACCGACUAAUGUUGAAAAAUUAGCGGAUGACUUGUGGCUGGGGGUGAAAGGCCAAUCAAACCGGGAGAUAGCUGGUUCUCCCCGAAAGCUAUUUAGGUAGCGCCUCGUGAACUCAUCUUCGGGGGUAGAGCACUGUUUCGGCUAGGGGGUCAUCCCGACUUACCAACCCGAUGCAAACUACGAAUACCGAAGAAUGUUAUCACGGGAGACACACGGCGGGUGCUAACGUCCGUCGUGAAGAGGGAAACAACCCAGACCGCCAGCUAAGGUCCCAAAGUCACAGUUAAGUGGGAAACGAUGUGGGAAGGCACAGACAGCCAGGAUGUUGGCUUAGAAGCAGCCAUCAUUUAAAGAAAGCGUAAUAGCUCACUGGUCGAGUCGGCCUGCGCGGAAGAUGUAACGGGGCUAAACUGUGCACCGAAGCUGCGGCAGCGACACUAUGUGUUGUUGGGUAGGGGAGCGUUCUGUAAGCCUGCGAAGGUGGCCUGUGAGGGUUGCUGGAGGUAUCAGAAGUGCGAAUGCUGACAUAAGUAACGAUAAUGCGGGUGAAAAGCCCGCACGCCGGAAGACCAAGGGUUCCUGUCCAACGUUAAUCGGGGCAGGGUGAGUCGACCCCUAAGGCGAGGCCGAAAGGCGUAGUCGAUGGGAAACAGGUUAAUAUUCCUGUACUUGGUGUUACUGCGAAGGGGGGACGGAGAAGGCUAUGUUAGCCGGGCGACGGUUGUCCCGGUUUAAGCAUGUAGGCGGAGGUUCCAGGUAAAUCCGGUACCUUUUAACGCUGAGGUGUGAUGACGAGGCACUACGGUGCUGAAGUAACAAAUGCCCUGCUUCCAGGAAAAGCCUCUAAGCAUCAGGUAACAUUAAAUCGUACCCCAAACCGACACAGGUGGUCAGGUAGAGAAUACCAAGGCGCUUGAGAGAACUCGGGUGAAGGAACUAGGCAAAAUGGUGCCGUAACUUCGGGAGAAGGCACGCUGAUAUGUAGGUGAAGCCCCUGCGGGUGGAGCUGAAAUCAGUCGAAGAUACCAGCUGGCUGCAACUGUUUAUUAAAAACACAGCACUGUGCAAACACGAAAGUGGACGUAUACGGUGUGACGCCUGCCCGGUGCCGGAAGGUUAAUUGAUGGGGUUAUCCGUAAGGAGAAGCUCUUGAUCGAAGCCCCGGUAAACGGCGGCCGUAACUAUAACGGUCCUAAGGUAGCGAAAUUCCUUGUCGGGUAAGUUCCGACCUGCACGAAUGGCGUAAUGAUGGCCAGGCUGUCUCCACCCGAGACUCAGUGAAAUUGAACUCGCUGUGAAGAUGCAGUGUACCCGCGGCAAGACGGAAAGACCCCGUGAACCUUUACUAUAGCUUGACACUGAACAUUGAGCCUUGAUGUGUAGGAUAGGUGGGAGGCUUUGAAGCGUGGACGCCAGUCUGCGUGGAGCCAACCUUGAAAUACCACCCUUUAAUGUUUGAUGUUCUAACGUUGGCCCCUUAUCGGGGUUGCGGACAGUGUCUGGUGGGUAGUUUGACUGGGGCGGUCUCCUCCCAAAGAGUAACGGAGGAGCACGAAGGUUAGCUAAUCCUGGUCGGACAUCAGGAGGUUAGUGCAAUGGCAUAAGCUAGCUUGACUGCGAGCGUGACGGCGCGAGCAGGUGCGAAAGCAGGUCAUAGUGAUCCGGUGGUUCUGAAUGGAAGGGCCAUCGCUCAACGGAUAAAAGGUACUCCGGGGAUAACAGGCUGAUACCGCCCAAGAGUUCAUAUCGACGGCGGUGUUUGGCACCUCGAUGUCGGCUCAUCACAUCCUGGGGCUGAAGUAGGUCCCAAGGGUAUGGCUGUUCGCCAUUUAAAGUGGUACGCGAGCUGGGUUUAGAACGUCGUGAGACAGUUCGGUCCCUAUCUGCCGUGGGCGCUGGAGAAUUGAGGGGGGCUGCUCCUAGUACGAGAGGACCGGAGUGGACGUAUCACUGGUGUGCGGGUUGUCAUGCCAAUGGCAUUGCCCGGUAGCUAAAUGCGGAAGAGAUAAGUGCUGAAAGCAUCUAAGCACGAAACUUGCCCCGAGAUGAGUUCUCCCUGAGACUUUAAGUCUCCUGAAGGAACGUUAAAGACGAUGACGUUGAUAGGUCGGGUGUGUAAGCGUAGCGAUACGUUGAGCUAACCGAUACUAAUGAACCGUGAGGCUUAACCUU